rnacentral:snRNA from 1 species
GUCCCCUUCGGGACAUACGUUACAGAGAAGAUUAGCAUAGUUCCUGUGCAAGAAUGACACGCAUAAAUUGAAAAAUUGUCCAAAUUUUU